rnacentral:sRNA from 1 species
AAUUUGCGUUAGGGAUUGUAGCGAAUAGCCCACAGCGACUGCAAGGAGCGAGGACUAGUAGCGUAAAGCCCGGCACGAA